rnacentral:ribozyme from 2 species
UGAUUAACUCCGCCUGUAGCUCUCAUAGAGUUACUGCCGAUCCCAAGCCCGGGUAAAGGAGGAGGGUUGG